AAUUACAGCCAUAUCACCCUGCAGCCCAAGACCGGUUACUCACUGAAGCUAAGCAGGGCUGAGCCUGGUCAAUACCUGGGAGACCACAUGAGAAAACUAGGUUGCUGUUGGAA
rfam:Danio rerio chromosome 7 genomic contig CTG724, GRCz11 reference primary assembly.